UGAGGAAUAUUGGUCAAUGGCCGAAAGGCUGAACCAGCCAUGCCGCGUGAAGGUCAGUGCCCUAUGGGCGUUAAACUUCUUUUGUCAGGGAGCAAUAAGGGUUUCGUGAAAUCCGAUGAGAGUACCUGACGAAUAAGCAUCGGCUAACUCCGUGCCAGCAGCCGCGGUAAUACGGGGGAUGCGAGCGUUAUCCGGAUUUAUUGGGUUUAAAGGGUGCGUAGGCGGUCUGUUAAGUCAGCGGUGAAAGACCGGCGCUCAACGCCGGGGCUGCCGUUGAUACUGGCGGACUUGAAUUCGGAUGCCGUUGGGGGAAUGUGUGGUGUAGCGGUGAAA
rnacentral:rRNA from 1 species